rnacentral:misc_RNA from 1 species
GAUGAAGAACGUAGCGAAACGCGAUAAGUAAUGUGAAUUGCAGAAUCCAGUGAAUCAUCGAAUCUUUGAACGCACAUUGCGCCCGCCAGCAUUCUGGCGGGCAUGCCUGUUCGAGCGUCAUUUCAACCCUCGACCUCCCCUUGGGGAGGGCGGCGUUGGGGACCGGCAGCACACCGCCGGCCCUGAAAUGGAGUGGCGGCCCGUCCGCGGCGACCUCUGCGCAGUAAUACAGCUCGCACCGGGACCCCGACGCGGCCACGCCGUAAAACACCCAACUUCUGAACGUUGACCUCGAAUCAGGUAGGACUACCCGCUGAACUUAAGCAUAUCAAUAAGCGGAGGA